CCAAUGAGCUCAAGGAAUUCCUCCUGGGGAAGCCUCUCAGCAUAAUCAGAUUGAGCAUCUCUGCUGCAGAGUGGAGACAUGGAGACCCUCCUGCACGUUCUCCUGGGGAUUCUCGGGUUGCAGGCAGCCUGGGUCAGCAGCCAAGAACUGCGGCAGAGUCAGUCUCUGGUGAUUCUAGAGGGAGAAGAGCUCGCCAUAAACUGCAGUUCAUCAACAGCUUUAUACACCUUACACUGGUACAGACAGACUGAUGGAAGUCCUGUCUUCUUGAUGAUGUUACAGAAACGUGGAGAUGAGAAAAGCCAUGGAAAAAUAACAGCUAACCUGGAUGAGAAAAUGCAGCAAAGCUCCCUGCGCAUCACAGCCACCCGGCCCAGCCACUCAGGCACCUACUUCUGUGCAGGAAGUGCACAGUGAUCUCCGUGCCUCUGAGGGCUGUCCCCAAACCUGCAGCUGGG